rnacentral:tRNA from 1 species
AAGAUUUUAAGUUAAUUAUAAACUGUAAGCCUUCAAAGCUUAAAAUAAGAAAGAGUUCUUAAAUCUUG